UAAAUGAAGGAAGGAAAAGGAAGACAAAAUCAAACGUGAUUGGUUCUAAUAUAUACUCGAUACUUCUUUGGUCAUAUUCCCUUUUUCUUUUUUCCUUGCUUUCUUCUUGGGGAAAGAGUGGUGAGAUAGGGA
rnacentral:ribozyme from 1 species